rnacentral:rRNA from 1 species
GCAAGCUUAAGGCGAUAGCUGUAGGCGAAGCGAAAGCGAGUCUGAACAGGGCGUUCAGUUCGUCGGACUAGACCCGAAACCAGUCGAUCUAUCCAUGGCCAGGUUGAAAGUAGGGUAACACCUACUGGAGGACCGAACCGGUGCCUGUUGAAAAAGUCUCGGAUGAGCUGUGGAUAGGGGUGAAAGGCCAAUCAAGGCUGGAAAUAGCUGGUUCUCCGCGAAAUCUAUUUAGGUAGAGCCUCGAGUGAAUACCCCAGGGGGUAGAGCACUGGAUGGGCUAGGGGCCCCCACAGGGUUACCAAACCUAACCAAACUCCGAAUACCUGGGAGUACUACUCGGGAGACACACGGCGGGUGCUAACGUCCGUCGUGAAAAGGGAAAAACCCUGACCGACAGCUAAGGUCCUCAAGUCAUGGCUAAGUGGGAAAGGAUGUGGAAAUCCCAAAACAACCAGGAGGUGGCUUAGAAGCAGCCAUCCUUUAAAGAAAGCGUAACAGCUCACUGGUCUAAAUAAGGGUUUCUGCG